rnacentral:rRNA from 1 species
AGUUCCCUUCGGGGACAUUGGUGACAGGUGGUGCAUGGUUGUCGUCAGCUCGUGUCGUGAGAUGUUGGGUUAAGUCCCGCAACGAGCGCAACCCUUGUCUUUAGUUGCCAUCAUUAAGUUGGGCACUCUAGAGAGACUGCCAGGGAUAACCUGGAGGAAGGUGGGGAUGACGUCAAAUCAUCAUGCCCCUUAUGCUUAGGGCUACACACGUGCUACAAUGGGUAGUACAGAGGGUUGCCAAGCCGUAAGGUGGAGCUAAUCCCUUAAAGCUACUCUCAGUUCGGAUUGUAGGCUGAAACUCGCCUACAUGAAGCUGGAGUUACUAGUAAUCGCAGAUCAGAAUGCUGCGGUGAAUGCGUUCCCGGGUCUUGUACACACCGCCCGUCACACCACGGGAGUUGGAGACGCCCGAAGCCGAUUAUCUAACCUUUUGGAAGAAGUCGUCGAAGGUGGAAUCAAUAACUGGGGUGAAGUCGUAACAAGGUAGCCGUAUCGGAAGGUGCGGCUGGAUC